rnacentral:rRNA from 1 species
UACGAAGGGGGCUAGCGUUGUUCGGAAUUACUGGGCGUAAAGCGCACGUAGGCGGAUUGUUAAGUUAGGGGUGAAAUCCCAGGGCUCAACCCUGGAACUGCCUUUAAUACUGGCAAUCUCGAGUCCGAGAGAGGUGAGUGGAAUUCCGAGUGUAGAGGUGAAAUUCGUAGAUAUUAGGAAGAACACCGGUGGCGAAGGCGGCUCACUGGCUCAUUACUGACGCUCAGGCGCGAUAGCGUGGGGAUCAAACAGG